GCGCAGCAGGCGAGAAACUUUACAAUGCGGGAAACCGUGAUAAGGGAACCUCGAGUGCUGGCGCAUAGCGUCGGCUGUCCAGAUGCCUAAAAGCAUCUGAUAGCAAGGGCCGGGCAAGACCGGUGCCGAGCCGCCGCGGUAACACCGGCGGCUCGAGUGGUGGCCACGUUUAUUGGGUCUAAAGCGUCCGUAGCCGGCUCGGCAAGUCCCCUGGGAAAUCUGGCGGCUCAACCGUCAGGCGUCCAGAGGAUACCUGCUGGGGCUUGGGACCGGGAGAGGUGAGAGGUACCUCAGGGGUAGGGGUGAAAUCGUUGUGAUCCCCUGAGGGACCACCAGUGGCGAAGGCGUCUCACGUAGAACGGG
rnacentral:rRNA from 1 species